CGGAUCCCCUGGAGCGGGUCGGGUCGCGCGCGGAUCUUAAAGGCCAAAACGGCGCCGUUUUAAAUUUAAUAUAAAUACCAAAAAAAAUACUAAAAAAAACAGUUUCAUCUUCAUUUUCAACAAAAACAGAGAGAACUCUCUCAACACCCUCUCCCCAGGAACCGACCAAAGGCUCCGGCGCACCUCCGCCGUAGCUCCGCCGUAGCUCCGCCGUAGCUCCGCCGUAGACGGCAGCCGGAGGUGCAAAACAGAACCUUUCUUAGCCCCGCUUGAAGCCCACCCCCUUUAGAACUCGGAUUCAAAGCCGAAUCCUUUAAAAAACGAGUCAAAACCGAAAAGAAGAGAAGGAAUCCGUUCGCCUUCCCUCCUCUCCGGCGCGGCGCAGGUAAGGCUUCUUCUCAUCCCUUUUUUGUUUUCUAUUUGAUAUGCAAAAUAAAGAAAAUAAAUAAAAGAGGAAAAUGCGAAUCUGAUGUAAAAUAACAACCUGGAAUCCGUUUGUUUGCUUUUAUUUCUUUCUGCUAAUGUGUUCUCUUUUUUUUUUACAAAAAUCCCCCCUUUUACAUUUCACCACAUACUUGGCUUUAUAGCCGAAAGAAAAGAUGAAAAAUGCAGGAAAAUUCCCUCUUUUGCUACUGUUUUUCUAGUCUGUUUCCAUUUCUCUCUUUUUGCUACUUGUUUGCAGGUACAUGGCAAGGUCAACUUGCCAUUUCGGUGCAAGGCCGGCUGGUGGUGGCAGGCCUCGGGCGUGGUGCGCGCUGAAGGCUCACAUGGGUAGCAGCAGGGGAACGGCGCCAGAAACCCUAGGGUUUCUGGCAUUCUGAAAAUGUCAAACGUUUUGGGCCGUUUGGGCUUUUGAAUUUUGGGUUGUGGGUCUGUUAUUGUAAUUGGGUCAGUAAAUUUUUUUGGGUUGGUAGGUUCGGGCUAGGGUUUAUAUGGGCCCGGGCAAAAUAAGGUCUGUACAAUACCCAAAAAAAAUCACUUAGUAUUUAAAUAUACAUUUCUGCUAUUUUCAAUUAUAAACUUAUAGUAUAAGUACUAUUAUUUGUUAUCGUACGUAUAAAAGAUGUUCAUUUCCAAUUUUGGUUCCUAUAAUUUGAUAUUUUUAGUUUUACUUUUCAAAAUAUGUAUUUUUAGUUAUGAUACUAACCUUUUUCCCUUAUUUUCAUUAAAUUAUUUGACGUGUUUUAUUUUUUAAACAUUUUGGUGAUGUGAUAUAUACUUUGUUGUAUUCUUUUUACACCCAAAUAAAUAUUAUGCAUUUUCUCCUU
rnacentral:lncRNA from 1 species